rnacentral:rRNA from 1 species
UACAGAGGUCUCAAGCGUUGUUCGGAUUCAUUGGGCGUAAAGGGUGCGUAGGCGGCGGAGCAAGUCUGAUGUGAAAUCCCGGGGCUCAACCCCGGAACUGCAUUGGAUACUGCUCUGCUUGAGCACUGGAGAGGAGACUGGAAUUUACGGUGUAGCAGUGAAAUGCGUAGAGAUCGUAAGGAAGACCAGUGGCGAAGGCGGGUCUCUGGACAGUUCCAGACACUGAGGCACGAAGGCCAGGGGAGCAAACGGG